rnacentral:sRNA from 1 species
CUUGGUCAUUUAGAGGAAGUAAAAGUCGUAACAAGGUUUCCGUAGGUGAACCUGCGGAAGGAUCAUUACCUARAGUUUGKRGACUUCGGYCKGCUACCUCUUACCCWUGUCUUUUGAGUACCUUCGUUUCCUCGGCGGGUCCGCCCGCCGAUUGGACAACAUUCAAACCCUUUGCAGUUGCAAUCAGCGUCUGAAAAAACAUAAUAGUUACAACUUUCAACAACGGAUCUCUUGGUUCUGGCAUCGAUGAAGAACGCAGCGAAAUGCGAUAAGUAGUGUGAAUUGCAGAAUUCAGUGAAUCAUCGAAUCUUUGAACGCACAUUGCGCCCCUUGGUAUUCCAUGGGGCAUGCCUGUUCGAGCGUCAUUUGUACCUUCAAGCUCUGCUUGGUGUUGGGUGUUUGUCUCGCCUCUGCGUGUAGACUCGCCUUAAAACAAUUGGCAGCCGGCGUAUUGAUUUCGGAGCGCAGUACAUCUCGCGCUUUGCACUCACAACGACGACGUCCAAAAGUACAUUUUUACACUCUUGACCUCGGAUCAGGUAGGGAUACCCGCUGAACUUAAGCAUAUCAAUAAGCGGAGGAAAAGAAACCAACAGGGAUUGCCCUAGUAACGGCGAGUGAAGCGGCAACAGCUCAAAUUUGAAAUCUGGCGUCUUUGGCGUCCGAGUUGUAAUUUGCAGAGGGCGCUUUGGCAUUGGCAGCGGUCCAAGUUCCUUGGAACAGGACGUCACAGAGGGUGAGAAUCCCGUACGUGGUCGCUAGCCUUUACCGUGUAAAGCCCCUUCGACGAGUCGAGUUGUUUGGGAAU